rnacentral:tRNA from 1 species
CCGGCGUGGGCGAUGCCGGAAUACGCCAGGAGGCGCUUGAGAUUCCGCUGGCGGAGGGCGGCGAAAUUCCCGAGGAUCAUCGUCGCGACGGCGGCC